AGUCGAGGGGUAUAGGUUUUCGGACCUAGAGACCGGCGCACGGGUGCGUAACGCGUAUGCAAUCUACCUUUUACAGAGGGAUAGCCCAGAGAAAUUUGGAUUAAUACCUCAUAGUAUUAUUGAAUGGCAUCAUUUAAUAAUUAAAGUCACAACGGUAAAAGAUGAGCAUGCGUCCCAUUAGCUAGUUGGUAAGGUAACGGCUUACCAAGGCAACGAUGGGUAGGGGUCCUGAGAGGGAGAUCCCCCACACUGGUACUGAGACACGGACCGGACUCCUACGGGAGGCAGCAGUGAGGAAUAUUGGUCAAUGGGCGCAAGCCUGAACCAGCCAUGCCGCGUGCAGGAUGAAGCAUCUAUGGUGUGUAAACUGCUUUUGUACGAGAAGAAACACUCCUUCGUGAAGGAGCUUGACGGUAUCGUAAGAAUAAGGACCGGCUAACUCCGUGCCAGCAGCCGCGGUAAUACGGAGGGUCCAAGCGUUAUCCGGAAUCAUUGGGUUUAAAGGGUCCGUAGGCGGUUUUGUAAGUCAGUGGUGAAAGCCCAUCGCUCAACGGUGGAACGGCCAUUGAUACUGCAAGACUUGAAUUACUAGGAAGUAACUAGAAUAUGUAGUGUAGCGGUGAAAUGCUUAGAUAUUACAUGGAAUACCAAUUGCGAAGGCAUGUUACUACUAGUGGAUUGACGCUGAUGGACGAAAGCGUGGGGAGCG
rnacentral:rRNA from 1 species